rnacentral:lncRNA from 1 species
GGAGCCUAGAUGGCAAGCUGUGUGUGCUGCACGGGAGGGAGCUGGAGAAGUGACCCAAGCCCCUUGGAGAAGCCCAGAAGAUCGAGGCCACAGUUGAACAACUUUGAACUUUUGAAGAGAUUUUUGGAUUUUAAUAGAGACUUUUUUUUUUUAAAGAUUGAAUUUUAAGUAUUUGAAUUUGUAAAGAUGUUCUAAGUCCGUAAAAUGUUUAUCUUAGGAUGUUUAUAUUAAUGUGUGAUCUUUGGGAUAAGCAAUAAUGGAAAGGUUGUAGCUUAAGAGUGAUAUGUUUGUGUGCCAAGUUGACAAGAAGUCAGUUGUGCUGGCUAAUUUUAUGUCAGCUUCACACAAGCUAGUGUAAGUCAAAUAAGCCCUUUCCUUCCCACAUUGCUUCUGGUCCUGGUGUUUCAUCACAGCAAAAUUAACCCUAACAAGCACGUUCUAAUUGCAUAUUUAUCCUUCUUUAAAAUGAUAAUGAAUUUCAGAGUUCACCUUUCUGGCUUAGAGUUACUAAGUUAUCAACUUAGAAAACUCCCAGAAAGUUGGACUUACCCAAUUAACAUUGAUUUUGAUCUAAUGGGGCUUUCAUGAUAUUUGAUAAAUUUGUAUGGUCCAAAGAACUAUAGGCCCCCUAAGGAAUAUCCCUAAGCUUACUGAAAAAUGUGCUAAAGUUUAGUUCCCAGAAACCCAUGGACAGGGACAAGGGCACCAGGACGCUCCAUAGUAUUGAAUUGUGCAGAGUGCAGACUUACAACAAGGACUCCCUGUGAGCUGAAAUUCAUGCCCAUGGCCUCUCCAAAAAGAAGGAACAAAAAAGAACUUGUGAACAGCUCUAGAAUUUAAAAAAAAAAAAAAAAAAAAAAAAGGGUGUGUGUGUGUGGGCUUUUUCAGGCCCUUCCAGGACAGAGAAGUUGGGUUCCUUCCCCUGACCUCCAUGGGGAUUGGCCAAGAGUUCCGAGAAGACGGUUUUGCAACUAAGAAAUCACAAGGCUGGAGUGAAAUGAAAACAAGCAAGGUCCUUUAUCAGCUGAGGACCGUUGGCUCUACUCUGUGGGACUUCAGACAGAGGAAAAUCAAGGGCUAAAGCAGAAAAAUGUUGCAACAUAGGAAAGACUCCCUUUGCAUGAUGUGCCUGCUACCAACUAUGACAGAUGACAGUCACGGGAGCCAAAGGGUCCAUGUAUGCUGUCUCACUUUGCAUUUAAUAAUACCCACCUCUACAAAGAAAGGCAAGUAUAUCAGCCCUGUGCUGGAUGUUGAGUCCAAGUGCACAGGUCACAGACCUUGCAUCUGUUUGCAGUGUACAUGGGAUUUUUAUGAUAUCUGUUGAUAAUAAUUUUAUUCAAAUAUGCUUAUUCUCAUGGUCAUAUCAGGAGACUUCUUCAAGAAAAUCGAUCUUUAAAACAUAUAGGCUUAAAUCGUAUUUUAAAAUAUUAUAUUUCAUUUGGCUUUACUUAUUUUGAAAGCUAUUUUAAUGAUACAAAUACCAUACAGUGUAUGUUUGUCAUAUAAAUUUCAAAUAAUGUAAAACCUAAAGUCAACCUUUACUUACUCCCCAAUAUCCAGAAUAAAAAUGUGGGUACUUUUGGAAAUGAUUCUUUCAGAAUUUUACAGUGAUCUACAUCUACAAAAAGAAAGAUGUAGAAAUACUCGAGUAUGUAUGUAACAUGUAUGUUAUAUAUGUAUGUAUAUAAAUUUACAUAUAUACUGUGCAGUUGUUUUAUUAUAACAAUAAAAUCAUAGGUUACUGUUUUAU